UACGUAGGGUGCAAGCGUUGUCCGGAAUUAUUGGGCGUAAAGAGCUUGUAGGCGGUUUGUCGCGUCUGCUGUGAAAUUUCGGGGCUCAACCCCGAACUUGCAGUGGGUACGGGCAGACUAGAGUGUGGUAGGGGAGACUGGAAUUCCUGGUGUAGCGGUGAAAUGCGCAGAUAUCAGGAGGAACACCGGUGGCGAAGGCGGGUUGCUGG
rnacentral:rRNA from 1 species